AAACAAAAAUGUGUGUGGACACAUACACAUUUUGAAUAUCAUACAUAUUCAAGAUUUAAAAAUAAAACUUACCUGCUAAAAAGUAUCUCGUAAAAUAUAUCUCAUGGACUUUGAUCUAACAGAUUAUAGAUUCACCUGAUAUUUGUUGUAUUGGAAUUUAGUGAGAUAUAACAUUAAAAUACAAACAUGAGGAGAUCCACGGGUUAUUUAAGAUAGGCAUUCUCAGCACAAAUCAUUAAUUUUGACAUCUUUUAGUUCUGAAAACCAACUGUAGCUAUUUUAAAAUCUUUAUGUUCAGUUUUUAGACUAUACAAAGAAAAGUUCUUGGUCUUAUCAGCUUCCCAAAGUAUGUAAUUCUAAAAACAUGUUUUUUCUUUUAAAAAUAAUAUUUGUAUAUCUGAUAUAUACACAUAUAUUUUUUUACUUUGAAUGUUUAAGCCAAACAUUCAGUCCUUGGCUUCCCGUACUAUUAAGUAAAUUUUAUUAGCUGAAAGAUUGAUAAAUCAUUUCAACACUGAAAAUUUGUAUUCUAAUUGAGCCUUGUCUAUUUUCUUCAUUGUCCUCUGAAAAUGAAUCAAUCAGUCUCGUCUGAUCGUAGUAAAACUUAGACAAGGGAGAAGAAUUCUACUUGGGACUAGACAUCUUACAAAUGAUAUUCAUUUUAAUUUCUCCUUAUAUGAUCACUCUAGGCUGAAAUACUACUAUGUUUGCCACCUAAAUAUGAUUUUUUUAUUAAUUACUGUGCUUGGAAUCUAAAUAUGAUUUUGUGCUUUUAUUAAUUUCUGAAUUUCAUAUCCUUCCAGAUAGUGAAGGAAUAUAGUAGUACCACCUGGGAAUGAUGCCAAUUUGCACUUGUUUUUUGUUUUCUCCCCCCCCACCCAGUAAAGGCAACCAAUAGCUGAUUCAUACUUCCAUUACAUCACAGUUGGAUUACAGAAGUGCUCUUUAGUCCGGCCUCUGCAUGUCUUUUGCAACUCAUUUGUAGAUAAUCCAGAAGCCAGCAGCUGUACUUCAUUUUUGUUCCAACAGUCACCAUUUUAUAAUGCUUCUCUAAGUCACUGUGGUGGAGGAACUUACUUGGAACUGACUGGGAAGGCCAUCUUCUGGUAUAAUCACGUACUCUCCUCAGAGAAUGUGCUAAAACUUCA
rnacentral:lncRNA from 1 species